rnacentral:rRNA from 1 species
AUUGAACGCUGGCGGCAGGCCUAACACAUGCAAGUCGAGCGAGCGGCGGACGGGUGAGUAAUGUCUGGGGACCUGCCCGAUAGAGGGGGAUAACUACUGGAAACGGUGGCUAAUACCGCAUACUAUCGGAUGUACCCAUAUGGGAUUAGCUAGUGGGUGGGGUAAAGGCUCACCUAGGCGACGAUCCCUAGCUGGUCUGAGAGGAUGACCAGCCGCACGUGAACGGGAACAAGGACCAGGCUCCUACGGGAGGGAGCAGGGGGGAAUAUUGGACAAUGGGCGCAAGCCUGGUGCAGCCAGUGCGGGGGUAUGAAGGAGGCCUUAGGGUUGUAAAGUACGUUUAGGGGGGAGGCGUUACCGGCAGAAGAAGCACCGGCUAACUCCGUGCCAGCAGCCGCGGUAAUAC